rnacentral:rRNA from 1 species
AUUGAACGCUGGCGGCAGGCCUAACACAUGCAAGUCGAGCGGAUGAAGGGAGCUUGCUCCUGGAUUCAGCGGCGGACGGGUGAGUAAUGCCUAGGAAUCUGCCUGGUAGUGGGGGAUAACGUCCGGAAACGGGCGCUAAUACCGCAUACGUCCUGAGGGAGAAAGUGGGGGAUCUUCGGACCUCACGCUAUCAGAUGAGCCUAGGUCGGAUUAGCUAGUUGGUGGGGUAAAGGCCUACCAAGGCGACGAUCCGUAACUGGUCUGAGAGGAUGAUCAGUCACACCGGAACUGAGACACGGUCCAGACUCCUACGGGAGGCAGCAGUGGGGAAUAUUGGACAAUGGGCGAAAGCCUGAUCCAGCCAUGCCGCGUGUGUGAAGAAGGCCUUCGGAUUGUAAAGCACUUUAAGUUGGGAGGAAGGGCAGUAAGUUAAUACCUUGCUGUUUUGACGUUACCAACAGAAUAAGCACCGGCUAACUUCGUG